rnacentral:rRNA from 1 species
UACGGGGGGAGCAAGCGUUGUUCGGAUUUACUGGGCGUAAAGGGCGCGUAGGCGGCCACUGCAAGUCGGUUGUGAAAUCUCCGGGCUUAACCCGGAAAGGUCAAUCGAUACUGCAGGGCUAGAGUGCAGAAGGGGCAACUGGAAUUCUUGGUGUAGCGGUGAAAUGCGUAGAUAUCUGGAGGAACACCGGUGGCGAAGGCGGCAUCCUGGACCAAUUCUUACGCUGAGUGAGCGAAAGCCAGGGGAGCAAACGGG